UUGGUCGGUACACCGAUCCUUCUGGAUCGGCACUGGGGCUUGCAGCGGCGCAGUUAAUAAUGAGCAAAGCCAGGUAUUUUUAGGCUGAAUAUAUAGGCUUAAAAAGGCAAACCCGGGGAACUGAAACAUCUAAGUACCCGGAGGAAAGGAAAUCAAUAUGAUACUCCCCUAGUAGCGGCGAGCGAACGGGGACCAGCCGAGCCAUGAGUGUGGUUAGAAUGCGUUGGAAUGCGCAACCAAAGUGGGUGAUAGUCCCGUAUAAGAAGCAUGAUUGGACGUAUUAAGUAGGGCGGAACACGUGAAAUUCUGUCUGAAGAUCGGAGGACCACCUUCGAAGGCUAAGUACUCCUUACUGACCGAUAGCGAACCAGUACCGUGAGGGAAAGGUGAAAAGCACCCCGACGAGGGGAGUGAAACAGUACCUGAAACCGAACGCCUACAAUCAGUUGGAGGGGCUUUACGCCCUGACAGCGUACCUUUUGUAUAAUGGGUCAUCGACUUGGUCUCACGAGCAAGCUUAAGCCGUUAGGUGUAGGCGUAGCGAAAGCGAGUCUUAAUAGGGCGUUGAGUUCGUGGGAUCAGACCCGAAACCGAGUGAUCUAGGCAUGGCCAGGUUGAAGAUAAGGUAACACUUAUUGGAGGACCGAACCCACAUCCGUUGAAAAGGAUCGGGAUGAGCUGUGCCUAGGGGUGAAAGGCCAAUCAAACUCGGAGAUAGCUGGUUCUCUGCGAAAUCUAUUUAGGUAGAGCGUCGACCGAAUACCCUCGGGGGUAGAGCACUGGAUGGGUAAUGGGGCCCCACAGGCUUACUGAUCCUAACCAAACUCCGAAUACCGAGGAGUACUAGAUGGCAGACACACGGCGAAUGCUAACGUCCGUCGUGAAGAGGGAAACAACCCUGACCUCCAGCUAAGGCCCCUAAUUCAUGGCUAAGUGGGAAAGCAGGUGAGACGACCAAAACAACCAGGAGGUUGGCUUAGAAGCAGCCAUCCUUUAAAGAUAGCGUAACAGCUCACUGGUCUAAAUAAGUUGUCUUGCGGCGAAGAUGUAACGGGGCUCAAGCCAUGAGCCGAAGCUGAGGAUGCAUUUAUUGCAUGGUAGCAGAGCGUAGUGUGACAUAAUUCCAUGUCUCCUUCACAGUUUUCGGACUGUAUUGGAGACGCGGAGUUUUCUGUGAAGCUGGCGCGUGAGCGAUCCGGUGGAGAGAUCACUAGUGAGAAUGAUGACAUGAGUAGCGACAAAGAGUGUGAGAGACACUCUCGCCGAAAGUCCAAGGGUUCCUGCUUAAAGCUAAUCUGAGCAGGGUAAGCCGACCCCUAAGGCGAGGCCGAAAGGCGUAGUCGAUGGGAACCAGGUUAAUAUUCCUGGGCCAGAUGGAAGUGACGGAUCUCGAGGGUAGUUCAUCCUUAUCGGAUUGAAUGGGCUGCUUAGAGGUCCCUGGAAAUAGCUCCAUCGCUAGAUCGUACCCUAAACCGACACAGGUGGACAGGUAGAGAAUACCAAGGCGCUUGAGAGAACUAUGUUGAAGGAACUCGGCAAAAUACCUCCGUAAGUUCGCGAGAAGGAGGCCCGGUUCCUAGGCAACUAGGGGCUGGGGGCACAAACCAGGGGGUGGCGACUGUUUAUUAAAAACACAGGGCUCUGCGAAGUCGUAAGACGACGUAUAGGGUCUGACGCCUGCCCGGUGCCUGAAGGUUAAAAGGAGGGGUGAGAGCUCUGAAUUGAAGCCCAGGUAAACGGCGGCCGUAACUAUAACGGUCCUAAGGUAGCGAAAUUCCUUGUCGGG
rnacentral:rRNA from 1 species